rnacentral:rRNA from 1 species
AUUGAACGCUGGCGGCAGGCCUAACACAUGCAAGUCGAGCGGCAGCACUUCGGGUGGCGAGCGGCGAACGGGUGAGUAAUACAUGGGAAUCUGCCUGGUAGUGGGGGAUAACUCUGGGAAACUAGAGGUAAUACCGCAUACGCCCUACGGGGAAGCGGGGGAUCUUCGGACCUCGCGCUAUCAGAGGAGCCCAUGUCCGAUUAGCUAGUUGGUGAGGUAAAGGCUCACCAAGGCGACGAUCGGUAACUGGUCUGAGAGGAUGGUCAGUCACACUGGAACUGAGACACGGUCCAGACUCCUACGGGAGGCAGCAGUGGGGAAUAUUGGACAAUGGGGGCAACCCUGAUCCAGCCAUGCCGCGUGUGUGAAGAAGGCC